GUGAGGAAUCUUGCGCAAUGGGGGCAACCCUGACGCAGCAACGCCGCGUGGGUGAAGAAGGCCUUCGGGUCGUAAAGCCCUGUCAAGUGGGAAGAAUAGCCUUCAGGCGAAUAUCCUGGAGGUAUGACGGUACCACUGAAGGAAGCACCGGCUAACUCCGUGCCAGCAGCCGCGGUAAUACGGAGGGUGCAAGCGUUAUUCGGAAUUAUUGGGCGUAAAGGGCGUGUAGGCGGCCUGUUAAGUCAGAUGUGAAAGCCCGGGGCUCAACCCCGGAAGUGCAUUUGAUACUGGCGGGCUUGAGUGCGGGAGAGGAAAGCGGAAUUCCCAGUGUAGAGGUGAAAUUCGUAGAUAUUGGGAGGAACACCGGUGGCGUAGGCGGCUUUCUGGACCGACACUGACGCUGAGACGCGAAAGCGUGGGGAGCAAACAGGAUUAGAUACCCGGGUAGUCC
rnacentral:rRNA from 1 species